GACGAACGCUGGCGGCGCGCCUAACACAUGCAAGUCGAACGAGCGAGAGAGAGCUUGCUUUCUCGAGCGAGUGGCGAACGGGUGAGUAACGCGUGAGGAACCUGCCUCAAAGAGGGGGACAACAGUUGGAAACGACUGCUAAUACCGCAUAAGCCCACGGUGCCGCAUGGCACAGAGGGAAAAGGAGUAAUCCGCUUUGAGAUGGCCUCGCGUCCGAUUAGCUAGUUGGUGAGGUAACGGCCCACCAAGGCGACGAUCGGUAGCCGGACUGAGAGGUUGAACGGCCACAUUGGGACUGAGACACGGCCCAGACUCCUACGGGAGGCAGCAGUGGGGAAUAUUGCACAAUGGGGGAAACCCUGAUGCAGCGACGCCGCGUGAGUGAUGAAGUAUUUCGGUAUGUAAAACUCUAUCAGCAGGGAAGAUAAUGACGGUACCUGACUAAGAAGCACCGGCUAAAUACGUGCCAGCAGCCGCGGU
rnacentral:rRNA from 1 species